GCUAUUGCUGCAGAAUAAAAGCUAUUUUCAAAGUGGUUACAUUUCAACAAAUUGUCAAUUCGGAUUCUUUGACGGAUAAUUAUAUCAGUAGUGUCCAUAAAUCGGAAAAAUAUUCAGAUUUUUAAAAUGUUCAAAUUCGGUUUUGCAAUGCUAGCGCUUCUAGCGCUGCUUGCAACGGUGCAUGGUGAAUACCCAAGCCGCGUCCCAUGGGGAUGCCACAAAAACUACUGUUACACGUAUUGUACGAGUCCACUUGCUAACGACGCAUGGUGCUACUCCACUACAGGAGCGUCGCAAAAUUAUCGAUACGUUACGUGCUCUUUGAAUCAAGAUUGCGACCCUAACUGGCGUUGCGCUGGACCAUGUGGCGGCGGCUUGUUCUCUAGCUAAAAAUUUUAAAACAACACACACCGUUUGUCUAUUGAAUAAACAGUUGUGGCAAUUUUUGUGACAGCAAGAUGCCUUGAAAAUAUC